rnacentral:rRNA from 1 species
GAUGAACGCUAGCUACAGGCUUAACACAUGCAAGUCGAGGGGUAACGAUAGAGAAAGCUUGCUUUUUCUAGGCGUCGACCGGCGCACGGGUGAGUAACGCGUAUCCAACCUGCCCAUCACUUGGGGAUAACCUUGCGAAAGUAAGACUAAUACCCAAUGACGUCUCUAGAAGACAUCUGAAAGAGAUUAAAGAUUUAUCGGUGAUGGAUGGGGAUGCGUCUGAUUAGCUUGUUGGCGGGGUAACGGCCCACCAAGGCGACGAACAGUAGGGGUUCUGAGAGGAAGGUCCGCCACAUUGGAACUGAGACACGGUCCAAACUCCUACGGGAGGCAGCAGUGAGGAAUAUUGGUCAAUGUGCGAGAGCCUGAACCAGCCAAGUAGCGUGCAGGAUGACGGCCCUAUGGGUUGUAGACUGCUUUUAUAAGGGAAUAAAGUGAGUCUCGUGAGACUUUUUGCAUGUACCUUAUGAAUAAGGACCGGCUAAUUCCGUGCCAGCCGCCGCCGUAA